rnacentral:lncRNA from 1 species
UAACAACUUGGCAUGGUAAGGAGUGGUUUUUUCUUUCUUACCUAUAGAAAAAAUCACUAGUUUGCCAAAGCCCAAAUACAAAGAAAUCUGGCAAUCUUGGUCUUAGAAUGCACAUCAUGAACAAAAGACUCGAGUAUCUUCUUCAUAAAACAAACAAGAAAACUGUUACCUGCCUACAAAAUAUUAAAAUAGCUAGAUGUACAUAAUCCGGAUUGGAGCAAAAUUUCAUCUCUUGAGCACUAUCUAUCCCGUUAACAGCCAUCAACACGGGGUUUGGACUCGGUCAUGACCACAACAAUGGGCAGGCGGGCACAAGAACAAGCAGAUAUCUACAGCGGAAAGAACUCCUGCUUAGGGUGAUCUAGCUUCCUCUAGGGUCCUAUACAAGGAGUAGUAGAUAAGUUUGAAGCAGCAUUAACAGAGACAAUUCGAUUAAAGGUAGUUUCAUCAGCCAGUAACCCUGACAAGAAGACGAGUUCUAGCGGCAGCCAAGCAAUUCACACAUAUUUAAGGAUACUUGCAUUCCGAUACAACCAAUAGCCCAGACCACGGAAGCCACAUGAAUCUGGCAAACUCCACAUUUGUGAUGUUUAUCCAUGCGAGAUGGCCGCAAGAGAUACAAACCCCUCAAAGUUUCUCACAAGAAAGAAACUAAUAGUAAUUAGUUUCCUCAAAUUCCCCACAAGUAGGACUGUGCAAUCGUACCGGACCAUACCGUUUACCGAAUGUGGCCAAAAUUAAGUACCGAUACUGGUACCGGUUAGCCGGUUCGGUACCAAUUUUUACAUACCAGUUGUAAUUUUUUCAAAGGAAAAAGAUGAUUUUCAAUUAUUUGAAAGACUGGAACUAAUCAAAAAUUGCGUCUGAUUCUGUCAAGUAAAAAGGUAGAAGGAUCCAAAACUUCUGAAAGAACUAAAUAGUAUGCCUCUAGCCUUCCAAUUGCUCCCACUGUUGGCAUUGCUUUGGACCUCAGUCAUGGGCAUUGCUUUAGACCUAUAAGUCAUUCACUUGUUGAGCUGCUGAAUAACAAAACACAAUCAUAAUUACAAAGAAAUAUUAGCAACACUACAGCAGCAGGGUAGCAGCAGCAGCAGCAGUCUUUUAUACAAAAUACAAAAAAUUCACAAAAUACAUAUACCAAUUUAAAAACUUUAAUCUACAUACAUCUAUAAGACUAUAACUACAAGAGAUGUGAUACUUUCAGCUUGAUGCAUGUAUUAUUACAGUUAGACAAUUCCACAAACACAUAGCCUACAAUUAUCCGUGUAGCAUUUUCCCAUUCAUCAAUUGCCAAAAAAAAAAUCUACAAUUCAAGACAAUAGGGAAUAUAAUUAUAAACUUCAAUUUUCCCUUACCCUGUACAUGCUUGGUGUCAACUUUUCACUCUGAACUGCAACAGUGGGAUAUUAUAAUACCCAAAAAUGAGGUACUAGAAAUUACCAGAAAUGCUUAUAAAAUUCCCUCAAACAAAAUUUACCCAAAGAUAUACAACCAUUGGCGAUUUUCUGACAAAAAACACAAAAUAUAAGUCAAAUCUCUCAUAAUUGGAAAGAGGUCAUUAGCAUAAGUAGAAAAUAUAUCUCAAUAACAACUAAUAGUGGAAUCCAUAACUUGGAAUGGCCAAAUCAAACACACUCACACACAAACACACCAUCCAUUGCAAUGAAUUCACAAGAGUCACAAAUCAGAAGAGGUCAUGUAACGAG